rnacentral:rRNA from 1 species
CCUACGGGAGGCAGCAGUAGGGAAUCUUCCACAAUGGACGCAAGUCUGAUGGAGCAACGCCGCGUGAGUGAAGAAGGGUUUCGGCUCGUCAAGCUCUGUUGGUAGUGAAGAAAGAUAGAGGUAGUAACUGGCCUUUAUUUGACGGUACUUACUUCGAAAGUCACGGCUAACUACGUGCCAGCAGCCGCGGUAAUACGUAGGUGGCAAGCGUUGUCCGGAUUUAUUGGGCGUAAAGCGAGUGCAGGCGGUUCAAUAAGGCUGAUUUGAAAGCCUUCGGCUCAACCGGAGAAUUGCAUCAGAAACUGGUGAACUUGAGUGCAGAAGAGGAGAGGGGAACUCCAUGUGUAGCGGUGGAAUGCGUAGAUAUAUGGAAGAACACCAGUGGCGAAGGCGGCUCUCUGGUCUGCAACUGACGCUGAGGCUCGAAAGCAUGGGUAGCGAACAGGAUUAGAUACCCGUGUAGUC